rnacentral:rRNA from 1 species
AGAACUAACGCUAGUGGCGUGUCUUAGUCAUGCGAGUCGAACGAGAAAGUCUUCUUCGGAAGAUGAGUACAGUGGCGAACGGGUGAGUAACACGUGGGUAAUCUGCCUCUAAGUUGGGAAUAACACUUCUAACGAGGUGCUAAUACCGAAUGUGAAGCCGUUUCUUAUGUGACGGUUUUAAAGACAGCCUCUGCUUGCAUGCUGUUGCUUGGAGAUGAGCCCGCGUCCUAUUAGCUUGUUGGUGGGGUAAUGGCCUACCAAGGCGAUGAUGGGUAGCCGGCCUGAGAGGGUGAACGGUCACACUGGAACUGAGACAAGGUCCAGUCUCCUACGGGAGCCAGCAGUCUAGAAAUUUGCACAAUCGUCGAAAGACGGAUGCAGCGACGCCACGUGGAGGAUGAAGCCUUUCGGGGUGUAAACUCCUGUCAGGAGGGAAGAAGGGAUGGCCGUUAAUACCGGUUAUCCUUGACGGUACCUCCAGAGGAAGCUCCGGCUAACUACGUGCCAGCAGCCGCGGUAAUACGUAGGGAGCGAGCGUUGUUCGGAUUUACUGGGCGUAAAGAGCAUGUAGGUGGGUAUACAAGUCGGCUGUGAAAUCCUUUGGCUCAACCAAAGAACUGCAGCCGAGACUGUAUAUCUUGAGUCCAUCAGAGGGAAUCGGAAUCGAAAGUGUAGCGGUGAAAUGCGUAGAUAUUUUCGAGAACACCAGUGGCGAAGGCGGAUUCCUGGGAUGGUACUGACACUGAGAUGCGAAAGCUAGGGGAGCGAACAGGAUUAGAUACCCUGGUAGUCCUAGCCGUAAACGAUGGGCACUAGGUGUUGGAGGAGUUAACCCCUUCAGUGCCGUAGCUAACGCAUUAAGUGCCCCGCCUGGGGAGUACGGCCGCAAGGCUG